rfam:Picea glauca, whole genome shotgun sequence.
AGCUGUGAUCAUAAUAGCGUUAAUGCACCAGAUCCCAUCAGAACUCUGUAGUUUAGCGGGCUUAGGAUAGAGUAGUACUAGGAUGGGUGACCUCCUGAAAAGUCCUAGUGUUGAACCCU